rfam:Myotis lucifugus cont2.61861, whole genome shotgun sequence.
GAGACACACUUCUGGGGCAAGACUUGCUUCAGUGGGACUUUGGUGCUCACUGAAUCUGCCCCCUGAGUGUGUCCCU